GAGUCCCUGCAACACAUUUGAAAAUGGCAACAGACAAAAUGAAAACUUCAAGAGCGCCUGGUCCUCUUGAUAACACUCUACGUCUCCCAUUUCCAGAAGUGCCUACGGACGAACCGAUGAUUGUGCCAAGGACCGUCCUAAGAGAAGUGCUUGAUAACACUCUACGUCUCUCAAUUCCAGAAAAAACCAGAGAAACCACGAAAACGCAUACAUCUCUCCCUGAUCUCAUCACAAUGAACGUGUUUAUGGAUCCAAAGCAAGACAUACCACACUAAAAAAAUCCCACAUUUUCGCAAGCGCACACAUCUGAGUGAUCUCGUCCGCUUGCGUUCGGAAUAAAAGAACCUUUGACGGGAGCCUACAAAAAAACAGGUGUAGUUAGAACUUCAAGAAUCCAUCUAUGGAGACCAAACCGAUGAUUGUGCCAAGGUCGUCGUGGCGAAGCAGAGUCCCUGGAAGAGUCCAUCGCUCUGCGAGCCAAAUGUGGUAGAGGAGAGAAAGCGGCUGCUGGUCAGGAGGCGCAGAAGCGAGCCCAACCCUAAACCAUAAACCCUGUAAGGAAUAUGUCGCGCUGUUCCAGAGGGUCGU
rnacentral:lncRNA from 1 species